rnacentral:tRNA from 1 species
GCCUGGGUGGCUCAGUCGGUUGAGCGUCCGACUUCAGCUCAGGUCACGAUCUCACGGUCUGUGGGUUCGAGCCCCGCGUCAGGCU